UGUUUCUGUAAAGACUUAUCGCAACAGCUAUGUUCAUUGAUUUCUGUGUUGUCUGUGGCUGCUUUCAUAAUAUGGUGGCAGAGUUGAGUAUUGGCAACAAAGAUUGCAUGGCUCCCGAAGUCUAAAAUAUUUACUUUCUGGCUCUUUACAGAGAACAUUUGCUGACUCUGGUCUAGAACACGUAUCAGCAUGAAUCAGUGCUUCUGUUAGUACACCUCCAAGACCACGAAGAUAAAGCCACUUUCACAUCCUCAAGGCACAGAGCAGAAAACUCCCAGUUAAACCACAGAGUUCCAUUAAAAGUUGCCACCCGUAUUCAAAAGCCCGAUUGUACACCUUGGGGUUCUGCCGAAGAAGCACUUACAGGAGUUCAGAGACUGGUGCUGUGAAGUAAAAAUGAAUCGACUUUUAGAAACCACACAGGAUGCUCCGUCUUUGACGGAUUUUGGACGUUAAAGCCAGAAAGCAGCUGCUGCAUCAUCUAAACUGUCCUCUGACCCUCACCUAUCUUCAGUAUUAAGGAAACGAGACCCGGUGAAACGGUCACGUGGAAACGAGGAGAAGAACGAGAUUCUCA
rnacentral:lncRNA from 1 species